GGGGGGGUCUCAGGCAGCAAUCCAUAGUUGAAUAUUAAUAUUUCUGCAGAAGUUAUGAAUAUACACAAUAUUGUUUAAAGGAAUGGGGAGAAGAGCACAGGGGAGUUCAGUGACUCUCACACAGCAGCUGUUAUCGCCCUCUGUUAUUUCAGCCCAACAAGGGAAGCUUUAUCAGCAUCUUCCACGGUCUUCCCUGGGAGCAACUGGUGGAGUUCAAGAGUCGAUGAGAAAGUGGGGAAAUAGUGGUGCCCAGAAGUGACUGAACGCAGGAGUUGAGACUGGAAUUCCAAAAAACUGCACUGUCUGCUUCCCACCUGGACUGAAGAUCAGUAGCCAUGUCUUUCCUUUAGGCAUACUUUUUUUUCCCUUAGAAUUGAAAUUCACAUUUAUUAAUAAUAAAAAACACAAAUUUAGAAGUA